rfam:Oryza glaberrima chromosome 2 Oglab02_0209_5, whole genome shotgun sequence.
UCCAUGGAUAGCGAUGAACUGAUCGCAUAUAUCCUCAAUGGACUGGAUGAAGACUUUGAUCCAGUCGUCUCUGCGCUGGUGGCCAAAACUGAAUCGGUCACAGUAGCAGAGGCUGUCUCGCAGCUCCUGAGCUUCGAGA